AUUGAACGCUGGCGGAAUGCUUUACACAUGCAAGUCGAACGGCAGCACGGGAGCUUGCUCCUGGUGGCGAGUGGCGAACGGGUGAGUAAUACAUCGGAACGUACCCUGAAGUGGGGGAUAACGUAGCGAAAGUUACGCUAAUACCGCAUAUUCUGUGAGCAGGAAAGAGGGGGAUCGCAAGACCUCUUGCUUUAGGAGCGGCCGAUGUCGGAUUAGCUAGUUGGUGAGGUAAAGGCUCACCAAGGCGACGAUCCGUAGCGGGUCUGAGAGGAUGAUCCGCCACACUGGGACUGAGACACGGCCCAGACUCCUACGGGAGGCAGCAGUGGGGAAUUUUGGACAAUGGGCGCAAGCCUGAUCCAGCCAUGCCGCGUGAGUGAAGAAGGCCUCGGUUGUAAGCUCUUCGUGGGAGAAU
rnacentral:rRNA from 1 species